AUAUCAUUUCAAAGCAGUGCCACCCACCCUAACUUGGACAUCCAAUUCAGAAGGAUAACAUGGUUGAUGGUAUUGAAAGCCUCUGAGAGAUAAAAGAGGAAGAACAGAAAGUCAGUUUCUUCCAAGAGCACCUGGAUCUGGUCCACAACCUAAUGAAGAACCUUGCCUAAGAAGGGGAGAUUGGCAACUUGCUGAUAAUUACUUAGAUUUUCUGAAUUCGGGGAGGGUUUUUUAAGGAAUGCCCUUGCCACUUCAAGAAGGCAUUAAUCACCUCCCUGACCCAGCCAGCUUUCUCUUCCCUGCUAGCUUUUAUCAGCCCAGAGAGGCAAGGGUCUAGAGUGCAAGUGGUCACCCUGACAGAUCCAUGCACCUUGUACGCAUCCUCAAGCCUUACGAACUGAAACUCAUCCAACAUAACAGGACUAGAGAUUGCUCUGGACACCCCUUGAGAUCCAACUGCUGUAACAGUGGAGUCAAGGUUCCAGCAGAUUCAAGCGAUUUUUAUCCUCAAAAUACUUCACAAACAAAUCGCAGCGAGCUAGUGUCAGUUCUGCUAGCUCCUUUGUGCUAGACUGUAAAAGGCCCCAUACUACCUGGAAAAGCUUUGUCAGACGGCAUGAUGAAGAUUCAAUGGAGUCAGCAAAGUAUCAGUCGGCUAAAUGAUGAGCCUUCACCAGUGUUCAAUUGCAUUCAAGCCGUCUUCCCACUUGUCUCAGUGCUCCAAGCUCUGGAGAAUACUAGGGAGUCAAGUGGACUCCACAAAUUAAUAUAUUUGAUGUAGUAGCUAUUAUCUGACUGGCUUUCAACCAUGCCUAUAUCCCACAGUUACCAGGGUUGUUGAUAAGGGUGCAAAGAGUAUGAGUGAGAUUUAAUGGUUGUGUGGAUUUAGGAAAAUCAUUGUAGUAGAAUUUGUGUUGUAUUAAUAAAGUAAGUAAGGAAAUUACCCCAUUUUCCUUGCCACAAAGUGUGUUGACAAAAGAAGUGAAAUGAACUGAAAUAAGGGGUGAAUACCAGGCUACUACAUGAUUGCUUAGCCAUGUAUAUUGGCUACACACUCAUUAAAACCUCCCCUCACACUCUGCUUAUAUAUCUCUUAUCCAAAGGAAAUAAAAAUACCAUUGAAUUUCUUAACACUUGGGGAAUUGGAAUGUGCUGUUAAUUAUUUUAUAAUUUCUAUAUAGUGUUUAGAGUGCAUGCAUAAUCAAUUUGCAUAUAUUAUGUCAUAGUUUCACUUAUGAUUUACUGGGGUUCUUUCUGUCCUUUGCUUCAAUCAAUAAGACUCUGAAUUCCUUGAACCAGUGUGUUCUCAACCAAGUUCAGUUGCUUUCAGUUUAUUAUCGGUAACAGGAACUUAAACAAGAAAACUUAUUGAAGAUGUACAAUAUGAGCAGCACAGAUUCUAGUAGCCCAGAGAUGAAAAGAAGAUAAAGUCCCUACCAGAGAAGAAUGGCAAAUCAAAUUGUUGGACUAUGUCGAAAUAGCAAAAUUGACCCAAAAGCUCAGGAACCAAGAAGACCAAAACUUUGACAAGGAAUGGGAAAAGUUUAUAAUUUAUCUUGGAGACCACUGUAAACAGAUGUAAACAUUAGCAGGAUUGCAAUAGCACUUGUAAUGUCUUGGGUAUUAUGGAGAGAAUGACAUUUUAUUUUGGUUUUUUUUAAAUGGAGUAUAAAAAAAGAGGCAGUAGAAAAAAUUUAAUAACAACCCAGA
rnacentral:lncRNA from 1 species